UACGAAGGGGGCUAGCGUUGCUCGGAAUCACUGGGCGUAAAGGGUGCGUAGGCGGGUCUUUAAGUCAGGGGUGAAAUCCUGGAGCUCAACUCCAGAACUGCCUUUGAUACUGAAGAUCUUGAGUGCGGGAGAGGUGAGUGGAACUGCGAGUGUAGAGGUGAAAUUCGUAGAUAUUCGCAAGAACACCAGUGGCGAAGGCGGCUCACUGGCCGGUACUGACGCUGAGGUGCGAAAGCGAUGGGGAGCAAACUAGG
rnacentral:rRNA from 1 species